rnacentral:rRNA from 1 species
UACGAAGGGGGCUAGCGUUGCUCGGAAUCACUGGGCGUAAAGGGUGCGUAGGCGGGUCUUUAAGUCAGAGGUGAAAUCCUGGAGCUCAACUCCAGAACUGCCUUUGAUACUGAAGAUCUUGAGUUCGGGAGAGGUGAGUGGAACUGCGAGUGUAGAGGUGAAAUUCGUAGAUAUUCGCAAGAACACCAGUGGCGAAGGCGGCUCACUGGCCCGUUACUGACGCUGAGGCACGAAAGCGUGGGGAGCAAACGGG